rnacentral:rRNA from 1 species
UACGUAGGGCGCAAGCGUUGUCCGGAAUUAUUGGGCGUAAAGAGCUCGUAGGUGGCUUGUCGCGUCUGCCGUGAAAGCCCGUGGCUUAACUACGGGUCUGCGGUGGAUACGGGCAGGCUAGAGGCUGGUAGGGGCAAGCGGAAUUCCUGGUGUAGCGGUGAAAUGCGCAGAUAUCAGGAGGAACACCGGUGGCGAAGGCGGCUUGCUGGGCCAGUUCUGACGCUGAGGAGCGAAAGCGUGGGUAGCAAACAGG